AAACAGAUCGGGUUUCAGCCACGCAUUCAAAGUUUCAAACAACCGAUUCACUUGUUCUUUAACUUCAAAAAUUUGUCGAAAAAUAUCCCAUCUCUCUCUCUCUCUCUCUCUCUAUAUCUGGUGGCCUUGAAGUCCUACUGAUUUGGAAAUCUCAUCAUACUCUCUGGUGAUUCUGGAGUCAUUUUCAGAUCUAGUUGAACAUCAUGGUGAAAGACACCGAGUAUUAUGAUAUUUUGGGUGUAAGUGUGGAUUCAUCUGCUGCUGAUAUAAAGAAAGCAUAUUAUAUCAAGGCAAGAAGAGUACACCCAGAUAAGAAUCCUGGGGAUCCAACUGCUGCUCACAAUUUUCAGGUACUCGGAGAGGCUUAUCAAGUCUUAAGUGAUCCUGGUAAACGGGAAGCAUAUGACAAAAAUGGGAAGGCGGGUGUUCCUCAGGAUUCAAUGGUUGACCCUGCAGCUGUAUUUGGAAUGUUAUUUGGAAGUGAAUUGUUUGAGGAUUAUAUAGGACAGCUUGCUUUAGCAUCCAUUGCAUCUGUAGACAUUGAAGAAGAAUCUCAGGAUCCAGAAGUUCGGCAGCAAAAAAUUCAAGCAAGACUUAAGGAGAUGCAAAAAGAAAGGGAGCAGAAACUUAUACAAAUCCUGAAAGACCGCCUUCAUCUAUAUGUAGAAGGGCAAAAGGAUGAGUUUGUAAGUUGGGCAAACGCUGAAGCUCGACGUCUCUCACAAGCUGCCUUUGGAGAAGCUAUGCUACACACAAUUGGCUACAUAUAUGCGAGACAAGCUGCAAAAGAGAUUGGGAAAAACAUAUUUAUGGGUGUUCCCUUUAUAGCUGAGUGGGUGCGAGACAAAGGUCAUCAUAUAAAGUCGCAGGUCCAUGCUGCAUCAGGUGCCAUAUCUCUGAUUCAGAUACGGGAGGGAAUGAAGAAGUUGGAGGAAAGUGAAAGCAGAGAAGAGAACUUUGUGAAAAGUUUUGAAGAAAAGAAAGAUGCAAUGGUCAACUCAUUAUGGAAAAUCAACGUGGUUGAUAUAGAAUCAACACUUUCUCAUGUCUGUCAUGCGGUUUUGCGUGACAAUACUGUUUCCAAGGAUGUUCUGAAGCUACGAGCCAAAGCGCUGAAGAAGUUGGGAAUAAUUUUCCAAGGCGCCAAAGUAAUUUAUCACAGAGAAAGCAGUCUGCGCUGCGAGAAUGCUUGCAACAAGGGACCGGCAUCAUCAUCAACAUCAUGAACUUCCAAUACAUUGCCAAUUCUAGCAACAAAAUGAUUGUUUGGACCAUGUAGAUUCUGUAGAUAUUGUGAUGAUGCUCAUGUGCUUUCUUCUAUGAUGAUAGGAAAUUGCUGCUAGAAAGAUACAGGAUUGAAAAUGAAGCUGCUGUAAGUGAUAAAUUAUCAGGGAAUUUAUCAGAUGACGAUGAAGGGCUCAUCAUUUUCGGUCAUUCAAGGGAUCUUGUUGUUAAAACAAAUGACUAUGGAAAUUGUAAACCUACUCCAGCUCUUUCCAAGCCUUCUUUCAAACAAAUAUCAAACUGA